AGCGUAGGCCGUCUGUUAAGCGUGUUGUGAAAUGUCGGGGCUCAACCUGGGCAUUGCAGCGCGAACUGGCAGACUUGAGUGCGCGGGAAGUAGGCGGAAUUCGUCGUGUAGCGGUGAAAUGCUUAGAUAUGACGAAGAACUCCGAUUGCGAAGGCAGCCUGCUGUAGCGUAACUGACGCUGAAGCUCGAAAGCGUGGGUAUCGAACA
rnacentral:rRNA from 1 species